AACGAACGCUGGCGGCAGGCCUAACACAUGCAAGUCGAGCGCACCUUCGGGUGAGCGGCGGACGGGUUAGUAACGCGUGGGAACGUGCCCUUCUCUACGGAAUAGCCUCUGGAAACGGAGAGUAAUACCGUAUACGCCCUUUGGGGGAAAGAUUUAUCGGAGAAGGAUCGGCCCGCGUUAGAUUAGGUAGUUGGUGGGGUAACGGCCUACCAAGCCUACGAUCUAUAGCUGGUUUUAGAGGAUGAUCAGCAACACUGGGACUGAGACACGGCCCAGACUCCUACGGGAGGCAGCAGUGGGGAAUCUUAGACAAUGGGGGCAACCCUGAUCUAGCCAUGCCGCGUGAGUGAUGAAGGCCUUAGGGUCGUAAAGCUCUUUCGCCUGUGAUGAUAAUGACAGUAGCAGGUGAAGAAACCCCGGCUAACUCCGUG
rnacentral:rRNA from 1 species